rnacentral:rRNA from 1 species
GUAGGGAAUAUUGGGCAAUGGAGGCAACUCUGACCCAGCCAUGCCGCGUGCAGGAAGACGGUCCUCUGGAUUGUAAACUGCUUUUAUUUGGGAAUAAACUCCGGUACGUGUACCGGCCUGAAGGUACCAAAUGAAUAAGCACCGGCUAACUCCGUGCCAGCAGCCGCGGUAAUACGGAGGGUGCAAGCGUUAUCCGGAAUCAUUGGGUUGAAAGGGUCCGCAGGCGGUCUUAUAAGUCAGUGGUGAAAGCCUACAGCUCAACUGUAGAACUGCCAUUGAUACUGUAGGACUUGAAUUCGAUCGAAGUGGGCGGAAUGUGACAUGUAGCGGUGAAAUGCUUAGAUAUGUCACAGAACACCGAUAGCGAAGGCAGCUCACUAGGUCUGGAUUGACACUCAGGGACGAAAGCGUGGGGAGCAAACAGGAUUAGAUACCCUUGUAGUCC